ACUCCUACGGGAGGCAGCAGUGGGGAAUCUUGGACAAUGGGGGAAACCCUGAUCCAGCCAUGCCGCGUGAGUGAUGAAGGCCCUAGGGUUGUAAAACUCUUUCGGCGGGGACGAUAAUGACGGUACCCGCAGAAGAAGCUCCGGCUAACUUCGUGCCAGCAGCCGCGGUAAUACGAAGGGGGCUAGCGUUGUUCGGAAUUACUGGGCGUAAAGCGCGCGCAGGCGGUCCUUCAAGUCAGAGGUGAAAGCCCAGGGCUCAACCCUGGAACUGCCUUUGAAACUGGAGGACUUGAGUACGGGAGAGGUGAGUGGAAUUCCGAGUGUAGAGGUGAAAUUCGUAGAUAUUCGGAAGAACACCAGUGGCGAAGGCGGCUCACUGGCCCGUUACUGACGCUCAGGCGCGACAGCGUGGGGAGCAAACUGGAUUAGAUACCCUGGUAGUCCACGCCGUAAACGAUGGAUGCUAGCCGUUGGUAAGCAUGCUUAUCAGUGGCGCAGCUAACGCAUUAAGCAUCCCGCCUGGGGAGUACGGCCGCAAGGUUGAAACUCAAGGGAAUUGACGGGGGCCCGCACAAGCGGUGGAGCAUGUGGUUUAAUUCGACGCAACGCGCAGAACCUUACCAGGCCUUGACAUCCCGUGCUAUCUCCAGAGAUGGAGGGUCCCCGCAAGGGGCGCGGAGACAGGUGCUGCAUGGCUGUCGUCAGCUCGUGUCGUGAGAUGUUGGGUUAAGUCCCGCAACGAGCGCAACCCUCGCCUUUAGUUGCCAUCAUUUAGUUGGGCACUCUAAAGGGACCGCCGGCGACAAGCCGGAGGAAGGUGGGGAUGACGUCAAGUCCUCACGGCCCUUACGGCCUGGGCUACACACGUGCUACAAUGGCGGUGACAGUGGGCAGCUACCACGCGAGUGGAUGCGAAUCCCAAAAAACCGUCCCAGUUCAGAUUGCACUCUGCAACUCGGGUGCAUGAAGUUGGAAUCGCUAGUAA
rnacentral:rRNA from 1 species